CCUACGGGAGGCAGCAGUGAGGAAUAUUGGUCAAUGGGAGAGAUCCUGAACCAGCCAAGCCGCGUGAGGGAAGACGGCCCUCUGGGUUGUACACCUCUUUUGUCGGAGAACAAAACCCGGGACGUGUCCCGGACUGCGUGUAUCCGAAGAAAAAGCAUCGGCUAACUCCGGUCCAGCAGCCGCGGUCAUACGGGGGAUGCGCGCGUUAUCCGGAUUUAUUGGGUUUAAAGGGUGCUAAGGCGUUCCGUUAAGUCAGCGGUAAAAUUGCGGGGCUAAAACCCGUCGAGCCGUUGAAACUGGCAGACUGGAGUGGGCGAGAAGUACGCGGAAUGCGCGGUGUAGCGGUGAAAUGCAUAGAUAUCGCGCAGAACUCCGAUUGCGAAGGCAGCGUACCGGCGCCAGACUGACGCUGAGGCACGAAAGCGUGGGGAUCGAACAGGAUUAGAUACCCUGGUAGUC
rnacentral:rRNA from 1 species